rnacentral:misc_RNA from 1 species
UGACGCGGUUGCGGAUUUCUGCCGUUCGUCGACACACACACACACACACACACAGUUAUGAGCGCAGGCACACACAGCCAGACUCGCACAAUGUGUCAGUGACGGCGGGGGAACGGGGUUCCCUUCAUGAAGGGCGCUCUGGAGGGGUGCUUGUUCGCACACGGCAGAAACACGCCGAUCAUUCAGCGAGCAAGUCGCCGCGGCUAUCAAAGACACUGUGCGGACCGACAGCCACCCAUGCAAGCACUGGUGAAGAAAGACACCUCCACGUGCCCGACUAUGUAUGCGUGCGUGUGGCGGAUGACUAAGGCGAUAAUACAUUUUUUUUUGUCGAAUAAUGGUGCAGAUGCGCGCCGGGGCAUGUACACGCCACAACAAAGCGCGAUGAGGC